GGAAAUUGACGCGUCGCUGGACUCUCCAGCAAAUUGCAGGUUAGUGCUGCAGCGACAAUAGUAGUAUUGAAUAUAUCAUACCAACAAAAUGCAACCGAAGUUAUUUUGUGGUUAAUUUUACUACUAAUGUAGUCAAGUGUUUGUUGACAUUCAAAUAUUUAUUUUGUUUACGCACUGAGUUCUUUGAAAAUGUAAAAAAUCUUUUUCUCAACUAUUAAAUGAUUAUCAACGGUUGUUCACAAAGUUAAUCGGCGGAAAUAAUCUUCUUUUACAAGAAAAAUCAAGUUUUUAGACAAAAUACACGAGUUUCUGAAGUUUAAUAGCUCCCGGAUUAUUCGGACGUAUACGAUGGCAUCAAUGGUAUUUGUCAUUGGUCCAUUUUGUGAUAUUCCAAGCCGGCCAAGAGUGUUUCUCUUACGAUUUGGUACUACUGAACAGCUUCUGACAGUUCCCGGCAGGUUUUAUACGGAAGGGUUCCAUAACGUAUUCUACAUCCUACAGGACAUCCUACAGAAGAAGCCGGAGACUGCUGCCAAAUGACCUGUAUCUCCGAUUGUGCAAAGUACCAUCAGAUGACAAGAAGAUGCUGGCAUCGGCAACCUAAUUAUAUG